AAGCGAACACAAGCAUAUGGCUGGUGGCUCAGCAGAGACACUUGCACCUGCAACCCCCGCCCUGGUUCCGCUCCCCCUGCGGACAGCGCGGGUUGAGCCGGGCCCCCUGCCAAGCAGCAACAGGCGGAGAACAGCGGCCCGCGACACGCGAGAAGACCCGCCUCAGGACUCCCGAAGGCAUGUCCCGCCCCGCGCCCGAGGCGGACCCGGCGGACCUCCGCGCUGCGGCCCGUGCGCGGUGCGGGCAGAGCUGGGCGCAGACAGCAGCCCGUGUCCCGGCGCUUCCCCCUCCACAACGGCAGGGGGCGCAGCUGCCAGGCCCCGCUGCCCGGCUCGAGCUGACCGCGCGCCCCGCUCCUCACCUACAGCGCCCGCACUCGGCCCGCCUCACGCAGCGCUCCACGGGCAGCUCCCACAGACCCUCGCAGCCGCCAUCUUCCCGCUCUGCUGCUUCCUCCACGGGCCCUUCCGCGACGCCCGACUCCUCGCUCCCAGUAACUGCCGUCUCCAUUUCGCCGCCGGCUAGGCAGAGCCGGGGCUCAAGGCUGCGAUGUGGGAGGUAGCCGCCAGGUGGCGCUAAGAGGCAGCGAAAGGCGAUGGUCGGUUGGGAGCCUGGUCUCCCUGGACAUAGGUGGAUUUAUACUAAUACAGUUUCACAGCAACCCUGUGGAGGAUAUGAGAGCAGAAGUUUCUAGAACAUACAGAUAACUGUAUGUCAGAACACAGACUUCCUGUUCAGUUAUCCACCUGGCUUCAGAUUUUUAGUUCCAUGACCUACAGAAAUGUUUAGCAAAAGAGAGCAGUUGUUCGCAAACUUUUGUACUGGUGACCCCUUUCACAUAACAAGCCUCUGAGUGCGACGCCCCCAUAUCAAUUAAAAACACUUUUUUAUAUAUUUAUCACCAUUAUAAAUAAAGACAAAGCGGGGUUUGGGGUGGAGGCUGACAGCUCGCGACCCCCUGAGGGGUUCCGACCACCAGUUUGAGAGCCCCUGAGUUAGAGGUUUCUGCUGCAGUGAUCAGCUAAUGAAGCAGAGGUUAUGGGUAGUCUAGAGCCUCCCAGGCAUCCCUUCUGCAACUACUUGUCAGAAACUUUUGCUGUGGAAGUGGUUGCCACCCCACCCUUACUGUGGGCUCCCAUAAUCUAUUUUUAUUGUAUUUUUAAUUUUAUAUAUUGCUCCUCUUGUAGAUGACAAAUAGAAACUUUCUAGGAAAACAGUCAGAAAAUCAGUCAUAAUAAUUCUGGCAAUGGUGCUUAUAAGGCAAUAAUUAACAUCCUUGACUCAAUCCAAUUUCUGUUUUGUUUUUUAUAUAUAUAAUAGGCCAACAAAUUUAAUUUAAUAUUAUUCUAAGUAGGCAGUAUUUUCUGUGUCUGUGAGAUAUUGUUACAGAUUCUUUUUGUGUUACUUGUCAGAAGAGCUCCCAUGAGAGCUGAGAAAUAAAAACCCUAGAUUUAAAGAGCCCCCUUCACUUCCAACUGAUUGGACAGACUGACAUAGCAUUUAACUGCAGUUAUUACUUUUCCUUAAAGUGAGGCAAUAAGGUUCUUGUACAAAGUUACAGUCAAUCUCUCCUCUCUUCCCUGCUACAAAAAAAGACUGAGGGUGAAAUCCUUUCCACAAGGUAGUCAAGGGGAGUUUUGCUAUUGACUUCAUGGGAGCCAGGAUUUCAAUUCAUGUCUGUUUAGUCACAACUCGACUUCUGUUAGUUAAGGGAGCAUUUGUUCUGCACUAUGUUUUCCUAACCACUGUAGUUUGUGGGCUUAGUGGUUCAUAGAGAGCUGGCUGCUGCUAUAGUGCUGGCUCCUCUUGUUUUCUUUCUUAAUAUUACUUUUGCAUGUGAUCAGUUACUGUAUUGUGAGGGAAUAUGUGUGAAGAAGCCUAUGUGAUCAUGAAUGGGCAGGGCGGUGUCCUGUGAGACAAUCUCACUACUACAAUGUAUGGUUCAUUCUCUGAAAAAGUUUGAGAACCUCAGUUUGACACUACUAAACAUGUAUUUAAAUAUAAUUUAAAUUAACAUGAUUUUUGAGAACUCCUUCCAAAAUAAAACCAGAAUCUUUCUUCUA